GACAAUUUGGUUUAGUUUAAGCCCUUUAACUAUUCAUUUUGUUCUAAAAAGUCAGCCUUUCGCAUGCUUAAUUAAUGCCUUUAUACCUAAUUUGCAUAUUGCUGACAUAUGCAAAUUAGGCAAAUGCAUUAAUUAAGCAUGCAAAUAGCUGAUUUUUCGGGAAAAUUGUAACUUUGCGUGAAUAGUUAAGGGGCUUAAACUAAACCAAAUUGUCUGAAAUUUUGUACAGUGAUUAAAAUCCCGACAAAUUUUCUAUCUGUUAACUCAAAAUAUGAUUGCAGCUUUUAAAUUUUGUGCGCGAGCCAUUUUUAGUUUGUUGGAAAAGAAACACCCCCCUGGUUCACAAAAUUUGAGUUCGAGAAAUUUUUCUCAUUAUUCUACAUUAUAAGUACCCAAAGAGGCUAUAUAUAUAUAUAUAUAAAAAACCGGAUACAAAUAGCUGUUUUGCGAAAUUGAGAGCAAUUUUAAAUCUGUUCAGUUUUUUUUAUACACCCUGUAUAACAAUCUUUAUGAUUUCUUUUCUGGUAGGAAAGGAACACACAACACACAAUUAGGGUAUUUAGUUCGAAUUUA